AGAGUUUGAUCCUGGCUCAGAUUGAACGCUGGCGGCAUGCCUUACACAUGCAAGUCGAACGGCAGCACGGACUUCGGUCUGGUGGCGAGUGGCGAACGGGUGAGUAAUAUAUCGGAACGUGCCCUGGAGUGGGGGAUAACGCAGCGAAAGUUGCGCUAAUACCGCAUACGAUCUACGGAUGAAAGUGGGGGCUCGCAAGACCUCAUGCUCGUGGAGCGGCCGAUAUCUGAUUAGCUAGUUGGUAGGGUAAAAGCCUACCAAGGCAUCGAUCAGUAGCUGGUCUGAGAGGACGACCAGCCACACUGGGACUGAGACACGGCCCAGACUCCUACGGGAGGCAGCAGUGGGGAAUUUUGGACAAUGGGGGCAACCCUGAUCCAGCAAUGCCGCGUGAGUGAAGAAGGCCUUCGGGUUGUAAAGCUCUUUUGUCAGGGAAGGAAACGGUGAAAGGCUAAUAUCCUUUGCUAAUGACAGUACCUGAAGAA
rnacentral:rRNA from 1 species